GGGGAAUAUUGGACAAUGGGCGCAAGCCUGAUCCAGCCAUGCCGCGUGAGUGAUGAAGGCCUUAGGGUUGUAAAGCUCUUUCACCCACGACGAUAAUGACGGUAGUGGGAGAAGAAGCCCCGGCUAACUUCGUGCCAGCAGCCGCGGUAAUACGAAGGGGGCUAGCGUUGUUCGGAAUUACUGGGCGUAAAGCGCGUGUAGGCGGGCGAUUAAGUCAGGGGUGAAAUGCCAAGGCUCAACCUUGGAACUGCCUUUGAUACUGGUCGUCUUGAGUCCGGGAGAGGUGAGUGGAACUGUGAGUGUAGAGGUGAAAUUCGUAGAUAUUCGCAAGAACACCAGUGGCGAAGGCGGCUCACUGGCCCGGAACUGACGCUGAGAUGCGAAAGCGUGGGGAGCAAACA
rnacentral:rRNA from 1 species